rnacentral:misc_RNA from 1 species
UGGGUCACCUCCCAUCCGUGUCUAUCUGUACCCUGUUGCUUCGGCGUGGCCACGGCCCGCCGGAGACUAACAUUUGAACGCUGUCUGAAGUUUGCAGUCUGAGUUUUUAGUUAAACAAUCGUUAAAACUUUCAACAACGGAUCUCUUGGUUCCGGCAUCGAUGAAGAACGCAGCGAAAUGCGAUAAUUAAUGUGAAUUGCAGAAUUCAGUGAAUCAUCGAGUCUUUGAACGCACAUUGCGCCCCCUGGUAUUCCGGGGGGCAUGCCUGUCCGAGCGUCAUUGCUGCCCUCAAGCACGGCUUGUGUGUUGGGCUUCCGUCCCUGGCAACGGGGACGGGCCCAAAAGGCAGUGGCGGCACCAUGUCUGGUCCUCGAGCGUAUGGGGCUUUGUCACCCGCUCCCGUAGGUCCAGCUGGCAGCUAGCCUCGCAACCAAUCUUUUUAACCAGGUUGACCUCGGAUCAGGUAGGGAUACCCGCUGAACUUAAGCAUAUCAAUAA